rnacentral:rRNA from 1 species
AUUGAACGCUGGCGGCAUGCCUUACACAUGCAAGUCGAACGGCAGCACGGGUGCUUGCACCUGGUGGCGAGUGGCGAACGGGUGAGUAAUACAUCGGAACAUGUCCUGUAGUGGGGGAUAGCCCGGCGAAAGCCGGAUUAAUACCGCAUACGAUCUACGGAUGAAAGCGGGGGACCUUCGGGCCUCGCGCUAUAGGGUUGGCCGAUGGCUGAUUAGCUAGUUGGUGGGGUAAAGGCCUACCAAGGCGACGAUCAGUAGCUGGUCUGAGAGGACGACCAGCCAACAGGGGACUGGAACACGGCCCAAACUCCUAGGGGAGGAAGCAGGGGGGAAUUUUGGAAAAUGGGGGAAAGCCUGACCCAAAAAUGCCGCGGGUGGGAAAAAGGCCUUGGGGUUGAAAAGCACUUUUUGCAGGAAAAAAAUCCUUGGCCCUAAUACGGUCGGGGGAUGACGGUACCGGAAGAAUAAGCACCGGCUAACUACGU